UUUUUGAACAACACCAAAAAGAACAGCUGCAACCCUACAGCAACUGCUGCAGUAUUACAAUAGGUUACCAAAAGCAUGUAUGCUGUUUUCCAGUUGUUAUUUUUUUUUUCAUAUAUAUCUAUUUAUCUAUAUGAUACUGUAGUACGAUUGUUAAUAUCUCAUUCAUUUUUUUUUUUGAGAUUAAUUAAACAAGUCGGCUUUCCAUUAAAGAUAUUAGUUUCAAAAUUGAACACCAUUGGCAAAAUGCUUACAAAAUUAGGCUAUGCUUGGCUCCUUGGUGCUGCAAAUGGUGACUUCAACUUUGUUUUUUUAAGAAAAAUGUGUUUUAUAUAUGCUUCUGUUUUAAAUAUUUUUGUUACAUAUUUAA